GUGCUCGCUUCAGCAGCAUAUCUACUAAAAUUGGAAUGAAACAAAGAAGAUUAGCAUGGCUCCUCCCCAAGAUGACAUGCAAAUUCAUGAAACAUUCCAUAUUAUU
rnacentral:snRNA from 1 species